AGUCGCAGGGUAACAUGAGGAAAGCUUGCUUUCCUUGAUGACGACUGGCGCACGGGUGAGUAACGCGUAUCCAACCUUCCCAUAACUACGGGAUAACCCGUUGAAAGACGGCCUAAUACCGUAUGAUAUCGUUUGCUGACAUCAAAUAACGAUUAAAGGUUUAGCGGUUAUGGAUGGGGAUGCGUCUGAUUAGCUUGUUGGCGGGGUAACGGCCCACCAAGGCUACGAUCAGUAGGGGUUCUGAGAGGAAGGUCCCCCACAUUGGAACUGAGACACGGUCCAAACUCCUACGGGAGGCAGCAGUGAGGAAUAUUGGUCAAUGGGCGAGAGCCUGAACCAGCCAAGUAGCGUGCAGGAUGACGGCCCUAUGGGUUGUAAACUGCUUUUAUGUGGGGAUAAAGUGCGUGACGUGUCAUGCAUUGCAGGUACCACAUGAAUAAGGACCGGCUAAUUCCGUGCCAGCAGCCGCGGUAAUACGGAAGGUCCGGGCGUUAUCCGGAUUUAUUGGGUUUAAAGGGAGCGUAGGCUGUCUAUUAAGCGUGUUGUGAAAUUUACCGGCUCAACCGG
rnacentral:rRNA from 1 species